UGUACAGUAUCUUUGAAAUGUGGUGUAUGUUUUACACUUAACAUAUUUCAGUAUAGUAGCCAUUGGCCACUUUGUAAGUGUGUAAUAGUCACAGGUAACUAUCAGCUACUGUAUUGGACAAGCCUGGAUUUAGAAUAUUUGCCAAUCAUGGAUUAACUUGUCUUUUAUUCCCUCUUACCUCUUUUUAUUGUACAUAGAUUUCAAGAACUGGGGUGCAUCCCAUUUGUAAAAGGAAGAUUAAUAAUAACCCUUCUUGGCUAGUGGUGAUUAGAUGUGAAAGGUCUGAAAGAGAGCUUUAGUACCCAGUACAGAAAUGCAGGCUGUUUUCCAAAGGAUUUUGUUUUGAAAUACAUAUUUCUCUGCCCAUGAGUCUUCAUUAUUGAACUUACUUCCAGGUGGAUUAUUGUCUCAAGAUGUAAAAGUACCUUUACCUUAAUCUAAUUAUAGUUGGACUUCAUUUGAUGUAAACUUUCAAUAAGAUGUGUUUUCAACAUUGAGACCCUCCAGUAGCAAAAAGAUUACAACUUGCUGAGGCUCAGAUGAUAGAAUUUUUUAGCAAUGCAAUAUUUUUUAGUAAAG